GACUCAUCCUACCUACGUAGUGAGUAGAGUUAUUUUUGGUACUAUCAACGACUACGCAUCAGUUAUGAUGAAGUUCUUAGGAAUACUUUGAUUGAUAAAGGAGGAUUUAUUGCAUAGUCCUUAAAUUAGUUUGCGACUAAAUGAUACGCUAUUACUAGGACGAUAGCAAUAUCAAGUGUAGGUCAUUAUGUGCUAUAUACAUUAGUUGUCCUCGUAACCAAAUGAUAUGGAGAUACUGGUAUGACAUGCAGG
rnacentral:lncRNA from 1 species